CAUCAUCAUCAUCUCAUUUAUACCAUUCUCACUUAUGAUUUCCUUUUGCUUAUCUAAGGCAAAGAGAGGUUCAGUAGGUCAUUCAAGGUAGCACAGCUAAUGAGAGGCAGAGCUGGGACUCCAGAGCCCACGGAAGGAUCCUAACUUGCAGCUGUGCUGCCAAGACAUUGCCUGAGGGAGGCAGAGAAGCCUUAGCAGGUUCAAACAGUGACACUUCAGCUGGGUGGACAGUGGAUGGGAAAGGGCUGGAGGCGGGAAGAGCAGGGAGAAGAGAGAAUGUGGCCCCAGCAAGAGAAGACGGAGCAAGGCUGGUAGCCAGGGAGAGCUUGGUUGGGCAGAGUCCAUCUUCAGCGGUGGGAUGGAUGGAGGACUUGGGAGACAGAGGGGAGGAAACAAGGCCUGAGGACUGUAGCCAGCGGCUGGAUGGGAAACUGGAGGAGGGCCAGCCCGGGUGGAGGCCACACUGCAGAGCUUGGGAUUCCUGUCGUCUUUUGUGGCAUUCAGCUCACAGGAUCGCCACAAUGAUUUGUUGGCACCAUGGUUUACUCAUUAGUAAGAACGAGGUUCCGGGCCUCUUUACUAAUUCUCCACGUCGCUCCGUGGAAGGUUCGAGGUAGCUUUCAAAACACACCAACGCCUCCGUCUGCAAGCUCCAUGGCAGCAAAAGGCUUCUCUCUCCUGUCCCUCCCUGUCCUCUGGGCUGGCCCAUGGCCAGGGCUUGUAAAUCCGUGCUAUUGGAAUGGACAAAAGAAAAACAAAAAAAUUGCUGUGGGUAAAGGAGUGAGGGAGGAACCGGGGGAACUAAUCAAGGCCGAGGGACAGUCGGGGGCAGCGGCAAAGGGCAGGGCGCUCCCACGCCACCGCGCACGCACGAGCUCAGCACCCGGGAGCCCAGGGACCUCUGAGGGCCUGUCGCCUCUCUGCAGAACGGGGAUGGUAACAGAAAGGAUCUCAAAGGACUGACCUGCGGUGGAGGGCUGCUAAGAGAAGCGUCGUAUGUGUCAAAUGACAGAAAACCACGAAGCCGUGGAAAAGGGCGAGAUGCCCUUUGUGUCCUGUGACAGAAGGACCUUUGGGAUGUUGUGAAAUCCAAACAGCGAGUUCUCGGCGGACACAACAUCUUUGUUGGUAUGUGGUGCUGAGGAUCGAACCCGGGCCGCACGCAUGCCAGGCGAGCGCACUACCGCUUGAGCCACAUCCCCAGCCCUCCUAUUCACUUUUAAGGAUGAGCCUGGAACCCCAAAGCACAUCCCCCUCAAGCACCACCCUUUUUCUCCUUAGAGUGUGUCUGCUCUGAUCCUCGGUGGCCUGAACAAAUCUUUGUUGUUUGGACACGUUCUGAAAUUUCUUCCUGAAGUGUAAGUCAAGAAUCUUCAGGGCCAUCUUGAGAUCCCCUUCUUCCUUUUGGGGGACAUCCUUGGACCCCCAUCUGGAGGAAUAUGUGACAUGAUCACAAGUGAAUAAAAUGUAGAUUAAAAUGA